UGGGUAAUCAAGAAGGCUACCGGUGCCGAGGGGCCCUCCCACCUGCCCGGAGCAGGGGAAUAUUAGGAUUUGGAAUUUCAGCAGCAGCCACAUAGUUAGCACGGAAACUAGGCAAAACUGAUAUGCAGCCACCAUUACAGGAUAAAUGGUGCAGGGCGCCUGGUAGCUUGGCAGGAGUUAGUGGACUCCAACUGCAGCUGUGGGAAUCAGGCAGCUGCUUUCACAAAAGAAAGGCAGCCCGGGUUGGUGAAGACCCAGGGCCCAGCUUCCCACCCCUCCGUAGGGUGGCGUUAGCCACCAGACUUUCCUGCUGGUGGUUGUGGGAUUCUCUUCAAGGCUGGUUCAGGGAGGGGAUGGGAGAUUGUUCUGGGGGUUUCUUAGCAUUUGCCAACAAAAACUGAGCUUGCAGCGUUCAGCUCCCACCUGGGAGGCAGGACUGAUGAAGACACUGUGUCUCCAUCUUUCCAGACCAACAAAAUCCCAAUUUUUCUCAAUAUGUCCACGGCAGAGCGAUACGUGAUUAUUUGGUCGCAUGCACGGUGGACCAGGAAGAGAGGUUUGCUGAGUCAAUGAAUACUGUCGACAAGUUUGCAGGGGGCAUGUUUAACUCACUUCAGGUGCUCUGGAAGCAUUCGCACGAUGGCUAAGCUAAUUACAAAUCACGCCUAUUUAUUCAUUAAACAGGGCUUGGGGGAAAUUCAAAGAGGCAACACUGCCUUAACAUCAUUCAAUUUGCAGUCUGUGAUUAAACGGAACACAGCUGCAAGACUCCAGAAAUGUUGCUAAUUUCUGCCUUUUCCCUGGUUCGGACUGACUUGUUCUCUGGGGGCUACACCUG
rnacentral:lncRNA from 1 species